CGUACGCGUCACGCGUACGUU
rnacentral:misc_RNA from 1 species